AGCGGAAUUCGUGAGACCUUAUAAAUCACUCUUGGUAUAGUAUGUCCAUUUUGAGUCUGUAUAAGGAUUUUAUAUGUAUCUGUCACUUCACUUAAUUUGCCCAGUCGAGUCCAACUCUUUUCGACUCCAUGAACUGUGGCAUGCCAUGCUUCCCUGUCCAAUUACCUACUACCCAAGCCUGCUUAAACUCAGAUGCACCGAGUGGGUGAUGUGAACCAAUGAUCUCAUCCUCUUUUGUCUGCUUCUCCUCUUGCUUUCAAUCUUUCGGUCUCACGAAUUCCGCU
rnacentral:sRNA from 1 species